rnacentral:rRNA from 1 species
UACAGAGGGUGCUAGCGUUGUCCGGAAUCAUUGGGCGUAAAGAGCGCGUAGGCGGCCAGAUAAGUCCGGUGUGAAAGUCACAGGCUCAACCUGUGAAUGCCGCUGGAAACUGUCUGGCUAGAGUCCGGUAGGGGCGAGUGGAAUUCCUGGUGUAGCGGUGAAAUGCGCAGAUAUCAGGAGGAACACCGGUGGCGAAGGCGGGUCUCUGGGCCGAUAUCGACGCUGAGGAGCGAAAGCGUGGGGAGCGAACAGG